rnacentral:rRNA from 1 species
GCGGGGAAUAUUGGACAAUGGGCGCAAGCCUGAUCCAGCCAUGCCGCGUGAGUGAUGAAGGCCCUAGGGUUGUAAAGCUCUUUCAGUGGGGACGAUAAUGACGGUACCCACAGAAGAAGCCCCGGCUAACUUCGUGCCAGCAGCCGCGGUAAUACGAAGGGGGCUAGCGUUGUUCGGAUUUACUGGGCGUAAAGCGCACGUAGGCGGAUCGUUAAGUCGAGGGUGAAAUCCUGGAGCUCAAAUCCAGAACUGCCUUCGAUACUGGCGAUCUUGAGGCCGGAAGAGGUGAGAGGAACUCCUAGUGUAGAGGUGGAAUUCGUAGAUAUUAGGAAGAACACCAGUGGCGAAGGCGGCUCACUGGUCCGGUACUGACGCUGAGGUGCGAAAGCGUGCGGAGCAAACAGGAUUAGAUACCCGUGUAGUCC